rnacentral:rRNA from 1 species
GACGAACGCUGGCGGCGUGCCUAAUACAUGCCAGUUGAGCGAUGAAGAUUGGUGCUUGCCCCAAUUUGAAGAGCAGCGAACGGGUGAGUAACGCGUGGGGAAUCUGCCUUUGAGCGGGGGACAACAUUUGGAAACGAAUGCUAAUACCGCAUAACAACUUUAAACAUAAGUUUUAAGUUUGAAAGAUGCAAUUGCAUCACUCAAAGAUGAUCCCGCGUUGUAUUAGCUAGUUGGUGAGGUAAAGGCUCACCAAGGCGAUGAUACCUAGCCGACCUGAGAGGGUGAUCGGCCACAUUGGGACUGAGACACGGCCCAAACUCCUACGGGAGGCAGCAGUAGGGAAUCUUCGGCAAUGGACGAAAGGCUGACCGGGCAACGCCGCGUGAGUGAAGAAGGUUUUCGGAUCGGAAAACUCGGUUGGUAGAGAAGAACGUUGGUGAGAGUGGAAAGCUCAUCAAGUGACGGUAACUACCCAGAAAGGGACGGCUAACUACGUG